UCCCCCUCCUUUCCCCCUCCGUAGGGAAUAUUUCUCAAUGGGGGCCCCCCUUCCUCCUCCCCUCCUCUUUUCUUAUUAAGGUUUUCGGAUUGUAAACUCCUUUUGUUAGAGAAGAUAAUGACGGUAUCUAACGAAUAAGCACCGGCUAACUCCGUGCCAGCAGCCGCGGUAAUACGGAGGGUGCAAGCGUUACUCGGAAUCACUGGGCGUAAAGAGCGCGUAGGCGGGAUAGCAAGUCAGAUGUGGAAUCCUAUGGCUUAACCAUAGAACUGCAUUUGAAACUGUUAUUCUAGAGUAUGGGAGAG
rnacentral:rRNA from 1 species